CAAAACCAACAGGUCUGCCUUACCUGUGGCCUCGACCCCACAACAACAUUUUUAAAAAAGAAAGGGAGGUUCGAGACAUUGAAACGCUUCCGUAAGAUGAAUGAGAAGAAGAGCAGGAAGAGGAAAAGGCCAUAUGAUCCAGGAGAAGGCCCAAGGAUCAAACGGAGGAGAAUCUGGCCCUAGUGACGUUUGUAUUUCAUGUUAUUACAUAUACUUCUUGUUAUUAUAGAUCCAAGUCAACUUGUACAAAAUCCCCCUCCCCUUGGCCUCGUGCGGAGGGGAGGGAGUUUGUCCCAGCCCUGCCCCGCACGAGGCCCAAGAAGCGGGCCGAUUGGCUCCCUUGAAAUUGGAGGCGUGGUCUCGGCCGUAAUCGGCCGAUCCACGGCCCAAGCUCUUCAGUUUUGCCUUGGCAAUCCCCUCCCUCCCUUCCUUCCCUGAUGCAGAGCGGGUCUAGCGGCUGGUCGCCUGCGGGGGCCGAGUAGGAAUUUUUUGCUCUCAACGCAUUGGCCACCGUUGGGGUUUUUUUCGCCUACUCCGUUCUGUACUCAGGUGUUUAGUUAGAGUUAGAGUUGGCAGUAACAGUGCGGGCUGAGGGGUAAGUUGAGGGUUAGAAUAUCGGUGAGCACCCUUGGAUCUUUAAAGGUUGAUUGGUCAAUUGCUCCUUUGUGGCCUGUGCGGCACGGGGAGAAUAGAUUGCCAUGAAACCUGCUUCAGGACUUCACCAACCUUUGGGCUGUGCAGUGCCAAAACAAAGACGCCCAAAUCUCAGCACCCAGUCUCUGGCAGAGUUGGGCUGUGCAGUCCAGGGUGGGUGAACACCUUGAAGUAUCCAGAUCCCCUCUUCUAAAGGGGGCGGUUGGCUCUGAAGGAAUUAGGCGGGGCGUACCUGCCUGUUUCCUGAGCCAGGGUGUGUCGCCCAGUGAGGCGAUGGGUAGGACGUUAGAGUCCUAGCCCGAGCCUAAGGGCCCGCACUGUUCUCUAAGGGUGAUUAAUCACCUGGCAUUCUAGUCCGCCAGGUCUGUUGUUUCUUUAAUAAAAUUGUGGUCCUUUCACCCAUAAAAAAGUCUACGUGUCUUCUUGGGCUGGGGUCUGGGGACAACCUACUAUUUGUUUCUUUAUUGACGUCUACUCCUACUUGGAUUGAUAUGCUGUUGCUAUACUGGAACUGCAUUUGACCUGACCACUGUGAAACCGCCUUCCGCUGCCAUUGCUUCACCAUAUUUAAAGCAGCAAGUAGUUCCAAAGGACUUGCUUCUAUGUCUUCAUCCUUUUUGACCAUCCACACUUUUUAUAGUACCUGCAUAAGUCUUUUCAAAAAGAAAGCUGGUUUACUAGCACAGAAAGGAUCAGUUUGAGCAGGUUCAUCAAUAUCCUUGAAGGUGGUCUUUGUCGGCAUGAAGCCAAAUGUGAAGAAACUGAAUUGGUUCCUAUACUAAUAUCGAUGUGAAGCCUACUUAAUUUCUAAGGACGUCUUUGUGCCCUGGUUUUAUAUACUU